GUGGCGAUUGAAGGUGGUUAAUAUUGUUAAGUAAUUGAAUUUAAAUAGUUGCCGACGGCCUGCAAAGCCGUUUAGGCCGGUUCGACUCCGGCUCGCGCCUCCA
rnacentral:tRNA from 1 species